CCGAGUUUACAACUCCCAAACCCCUGUGAACAUACCUAUACGUUGCCUCGGCGGAUCAGCCCGCGCCCCGUAAAAAGGGACGGCCCGUCCGAGGACCCCUAAACUCUGUUUUUAGUGGAACUUCUGAGUAAAACAAACAAAUAAAUCA
rnacentral:misc_RNA from 1 species